rnacentral:lncRNA from 1 species
CUGGAGAGGUGGUCAGAACCAGGUUCAGAUGUAUGAAUAGGGAGACUUGUGAAGUCACAGACAGCUCAGUUUGCAUAUCUGAAACGCAAGUGGCUGGUGGGGCAUGGUGUGAAAAUGCCUUUAUUACAAGGAACUUAAGCUAAAACUAGGAGGCCACCACUUAACACUUUACUGGUAAACAGCUUUGUUAUGAACAUUCAUAAUGAUGCUGUGAGGGAACAAGGGUGCAUGGGCUCUCUCAGGGACACACUCUCUCUAACACAGAUUGUGAAGAUCAUCACAUCAGAUUCUCCACCAAACUGCUCUGAUGAGCAGUGUCAUCCCUGGACAGCUGGCAGGAUAUACAUUUCCAUUCACAAAUAUCUAUGUGGAGACACAGAACCUGCUGCACUGUUGGGGAAGUGUUGCUGCCAAUGUCUGAAUGGAUAUGAGCAAAAAGACCAAAACUAUUCUCUGUCUUUGAUGCCAAUCAGAAUUGACAUAGACAUAUCUGAGACUCUUUUUACAGGAGGUAUGUGUGUUGGGAAAGAUGGAAUGACCCCAAGGUUUGUUUUAAUUUUUGCUUCUAUGAUAAAUAAGGAAGAAAACCAAUAAGUACAAGAUUACUGAUGCAAAUACAGAAGUACUGAAUUAAAUGAGGUCAAAUUUGGGGAAAUUUGACUAUGACUGUUGGGCUUGAUUCACAAAUAAGACUUAAACAUAGCAGCAUUCAAAUUCUCUUUAAGGUACCUUUUUGCCAGUUAAAUCUCAAGGUGACUCACCAUUUCAUGUGUGGGAAGCAAAUGCUUUUGAUUCUCAUGGCAGGGGUGUGUAUGUAGCACACUGUAUUAUGCUGUAUUGAUUUGCCAGCAGCAUGCUAUGUUAUUUAACAAAGCACAGUUUUGCAUUAUAUUGUUAUUUUAAAGGGGUCAUCAAAGAGUGUCAACAUUUUAAGACAGGGAAGAAUGCAGAACUGUAAUUUUAUAAAGCCUGGAAAAUAUGCUUUGGAAAAGAGAGUCAAUAGGAUUGUGUUUUAAUGAAGUAAUUAUGAAGCAUGGCUGAGACAAAAUAAAGAAGUAACUAAGAUAUAAGACGAUACA